UACGUAGGGGGCAAGCGUUGUCCGGAAUUAUUGGGCGUAAAGGGCGCGUAGGCGGCUUGCACAGUCAGGCGUGAAAUUCCUGGGCUCAACCUGGGGACUGCGCUUGAGACGUGUGGGCUUGAGUGGGGAAGAGGGUCGUGGAAUUCCCAGUGUAGAGGUGAAAUUCGUAGAUAUUGGGAAGAACACCGGUGGCGAAGGCGGCGACCUGGUCCUUGACUGACGCUGAGGCGCGAAAGCGUGGGGAGCAAACAGG
rnacentral:rRNA from 1 species